AUGAUGCGGGUGCUAUACAUGCAGUCGAGCGAAUGGAUUAAGAGCUUGCUCUUAUGAAGUUAGCGGCGGACGGGUGAGUAACACGUGGGUAACCUGCCCAUAAGACUGGGAUAACUCCGGGAAACCGGGGCUAAUACCGGAUAACAUUUUGAACCGCAUGGUUCGAAAUUGAAAGGCGGCUUCGGCUGUCACUUAUGGAUGGACCCGCGUCGCAUUAGCUAGUUGGUGAGGUAACGGCUCACCAAGGCAACGAUGCGUAGCCGACCUGAGAGGGUGAUCGGCCACACUGGGACUGAGACACGGCCCAGACUCCUACGGGAGGCAGCAGUAGGGAAUCUUCCGCAAUGGACGAAAGUCUGACGGAGCAACGCCGCGUGAGUGAUGAAGGCUUUCGGGUCGUAAAACUCUGUUGUUAGGGAAGAACAAGUGCUAGUUGAAUAAGCUGGCACCUUGACGGUACCUAACCAGAAAGCCACGGCUAACUACGUGCCAGCAGCCGCGGUAAUACGUAGGUGGCAAGCGUUAUCCGGAAUUAUUGGGCGUAAAGCGCGCGCAGGUGGUUUCUUAAGUCUGAUGUGAAAGCCCACGGCUCAACCGUGGAGGGUCAUUGGAAACUGGGAGACUUGAGUGCA
rnacentral:rRNA from 1 species